ACCAACAUUGAAAGGUUCGGACUAAGGAUCCUAGGUUUCUUCCGGGUUUUUGUUUUCUGCAACACCGUUCCUGGCUGUUCUACCUUUUUUGUUGUCUGUGGCGAUCCUGCUUCGGAGUGUGCUGCGAUCAAGGCUGGUGGCUGCGGAAGCUCCUGUUGUCAACGUGAUCUGGUUUCCGUACUUCUUCCGUUGGUCUAUGGUUAGAGGGCGAGUGAUACGGGUGUUCAUGCUAAGGUGGUAGUUUUCGACGGCGCCUUGUUGCUCUAUUGUUGUUAUUGCGCCGCCGCCUACCACUGGAGUGUCGACGGGUUCCCUUUUGGGUGGCAUUGAGGAUUGUCGACGCUUUCUUGUUGCUCGCCUCGUCGUUUUCGCCUGGUGAUUCUUCGGUUCUGUUCUUCACCAUCUUGUUGUAGGCCAAGGCCGUUUGAUGCCACUGUUGCGGUUGUGGCUGCAAAUUCGACUGCUUCACCGACUGUACUCCUUGAAGUCAUGGCUGCUGCUGCAAGUUCUUGAAGAGAGUAGUGGACGUUUAGGUCGUGGUUGGUAGCUGUCGGGGAAAUUGCGGAAUUUGUUAUCCGCCGACCCGCGUUUUUGUCGCCGUGGAUGCUGGAGGAUUAAGUCAUGCGGUGCAGAGCCGUCAAUUUUGGCUGGUGGUCGACUUAAUCCGGCUCUUGUUGCUGUGCUCGUUCGUCUCCGACUGUUUUUGGGCUCCGGUGUUGUUCGACUCUCGCUGAGUUUCCAAUCAUCGUCGUCGCCUAUAGUCGGCACUCUCGGUGGACUGGCGGGGUUGGCAGGUAUUGUUGAAUGGGAGAAAUGAUGUUCUGCAACUAGUAGGCGGACGCGAGUUCGCUGGUGAUGUGGGUCUUAAUAGCAGAUAUCGAUGCUUAAAUUUGGAGAUGUGACUGUGUCAGCGAAAAGUUGAGCAAGUAAGGUUCCCUACCGACAAUUGCAGAGAGGCAACGUUGUUCAGAAUUCAGUGUUGCAAGGGUGUUCGAAAUGUAGUACCGAUUUGUUAGUGCUGAUGAGGUAAGGUGGUUGUUCAUUAAAACACAAAAUUGUGGUGUAUGGAAGGUCCUCGUGAGGCAGGCAUUGAAGUUGACAGCGUAGUGAAAAAUUUAUGUAAGCAGCUUGGUUGUCGAUAGAACCGUCGGCUUCGCAGAAGAAUUUCAUGUGAGCAGGUAGCAUCUGGAGUUCGGAUGGCUUCCUGUGAUACUCAUGGUUUCGUAACAAAUAUGAUACUAUUAUCAUCCAGCAGCCCUCUUUUCCAUAUCCCGAGUUUCUGUUGCAAGUCAUCUUCGCCUACCCAGUUUCAUUUCUGUGAAGGGUUGUAAAGAUUGGUGGCAGCUUUGCCAACCCACUUUCAUUCCUGUGAAGGGUUCUGAAGAUCGAAGGACUUUGAGCCGCCAGUGGGUCGGCGAGCAAUUCCAUUUCUUCCUGCACAACUGCUAUCGCUGCUACUCCAGGCUCGUUUUCGACAUCUUCCACAUUGCGGUGAGACUUCCAGAUUGGAUGAAUUGUUGGAUUGGAUGACUAAUUGAGUUGGAUAUAGUUAGGUUAGGAAUUUGAUCAACCCAUGUGGAUGAACAACUUGAAUGAAUACUCAGGUGUGGGUGAAUUCUUAUUGUUAGAUGACAUCUCAUUUAUGGAUGAAGUUUUGUAUAAAGAUGAAUGCUUGUCAAUGGA